CUGGUGUCCGGCGGGGCCUGGACUCUGUCCCCGUGGCGGGGUGGGCGGCGGAGCCUCCGCCUCCCGCCCGAGGACCCCGCACGGCGAGCUCCGCGCCGGUCCCGCCACGCCCCGCAGGCGCCGUCCCCGCGGCCACUCCCUCCCGCGGGCCCAGCCGAACCGCGGCCGCGCUUCCUGCACCCGGGACCCGACAGAGAGACAGAUUCUUGCUAUGGCUAUGGCUACAGUCUUACCCAAGCUCUUCUUGAAGCCCCGGCCUCAAGUGAUCCUCCCACCUCAACCUCCCAAGGUGCUGAGAUUACAGGCAUGAGCCAUCAUGUCCAGCCUUCAACCAGAUUUCUUGACAGCACCUUUAUAUGUGAUUCUUACACCAAUCUUCAUUGUUAACCCCAUUUUAAAGAAGCAGAAACCAAGGCCCAGGGAGGCUACAUAACUUGCCAGAGCUCUCAGAGCCAAAAAGCAACAGAUGUGGAAUUCAAACCCGGGCAUUCAGAUGCCCAAGUUCCCUGCACUCCCACUCUCCCAAACUGCCUCAGCCUGAGCAAGCCCAACCUGAAGCCUUCCUCCUGGAGUCCAAAGUCCAGCCAGGAAUGUGACAUGGGCUCCCCAGCCCUCCAGAUGUGUGUGCUCACACUUUGUCUGGACUUGUUCCUCCUUGGCCUUCGAACGUUCUGCCCUCAGAUGUCCCCAUUAGUCACAGUCUGUCUGAGAGCCCUCGGAUUAGCUGGAUGGGAGCAGACGCAACUUUGUGGUGGUCAUCAGGUUGUCCCAUUCAUCAGCUCAGGCCUGAGCCUGCUGGAGUGUGGUCGUUGCCAGAAACAAUAACUCUUAGGAAAGAAAACCAGCCUCUUUCUGCCUGAAACUGUCCUGAGAGGUGCUUGACUCAGCAUCGGCAAUUAUUUCCCAGAAGGAAAGUUACCGACCUGAUUCGGCAGCCGCGUGCUCCGCUCUAGAAAGCUCAUGGUGACGGGAAGCACAGGACAGGGGUGGAUCAGCAAGAGAAGGCUUGGGCCUGAGCAGAGACUGAGAUGAGCUGGCGCUAGAACCGAGGGAGGAAGUAGGGACUCAUUCUGUUGUUUAGGGGAUAAAGAGAGAUUUCCGCGAAGGCUAGCCAGCUGUGCUAAUUGGAAGAACGAAG
rnacentral:lncRNA from 1 species